AGAGUUUGAUCAUGGCUCAGAAUCAACGCUGGCGGCGCGCUUAACACAUGCAAGUCGAACGAGAAAGUGGAGCAAUCCAUGAGUAAAGUGGCGUACGGGUGAGUAACACGUGGGUAAUCUACCUUUUAGUGAGGAAUAACGAUGGGAAACCGUCGCUAAUACCGCAUGAGCCCGAGAGGGGAAAGUCGCAAGACGCUGAAAGAGGAGCCCGCGGCCGAUUAGCUAGUUGGUGAGGUAAGAGCCCACCAAGGCAGAGAUCGGUAGCCGGCCUGAGAGGGCACACGGCCACACUGGCACUGAAACACGGGCCAGACUCCUACGGGAGGCAGCAGUGGGGAAUCUUGCACAAUGGGGGCAACCCUGAUGCAGCGACGCCGCGUGAGCGAUGAAGCCCUUCGGGGUGUAAAGCUCUUUCGGCAGGGAAGAUUAUGACGGUACCUGCAGAAGCAGCUGCGGCUAACUACGUGCCAGCAGCCGCGGUAAUACGUAGGCAGCGAGCGUUGUUCGGAAUUACUGGGCGUAAAGGGUGUGUAGGCGGUUCUUUAAGUUUGGUGUGAAAUCUCCCGGCUUAACCGGGAGGGUGCGCCGAAUACUGAGGGACUAGAGUGCGGGAGAGGAAAGUGGAAUUCCUGGUGUAGCGGUGAAAUGCGUAGAUAUCAGGAGGAACACCGGUGGUGUAGACGGCUUUCUGGACCGUAACUGACGCUGAGACACGAAAGCGUGGGUAGCAAACAGGAUUAGAUACCCUAGUAGUCC
rnacentral:rRNA from 1 species